rnacentral:rRNA from 1 species
AAAUAGCGGAGGAAAAGAAACUAACAAGGAUUCCCCUAGUAGCGGCGAGCGAAGCGGGAAGAGCUCAAAUUUGUAAUCUGGCACCUUCGGUGUCCGAGUUGUAAUCUCUAGAAGUGUUUUCCGCGUUGGACCGCACACAAGUCUGUUGGAAUACAGCGGCAUAGUGGUGAUACCCCAUUACACGGUGCGGACGCCCAGCGCUUUGUGAUACACUUUCGACGAGUCGAGUUGUUUGGGAAUGCAGCUCAAAUUGGGUGGUAAAUUCCAUCUAAAGCUAAAUAUUGGCGAGAGACCGAUAGCGAACAAGUACCGUGAGGGAAAGAUGAAAAGCACUUUGGAAAGAGAGUUAAAAGUACGUGAAAUUGUUGGAAGGGAAACGCUUGAAGUCAGACUUGCUUGCCGGGCUUGCUCGGUUUGCAGGCCAGCAUCAGUUUUCCGGGGCGGAUAAUGGCAGUUAGAAUGUAGCAGUCUCGGCUGUGUUAUAGCUUUCUGCUGGAUACGUCCUGGGGGACUGAGGAACGCAGCGUGCCGUAUGGCGAGGGCUUCGGUCCUUUCACGCUUA